UUUUACCUUCCUUGGCAUACAGCGCAAUCAGGCUUGUUGGGGCAGCCCCCGCGAGUUGUAAGUUGCAAGAUUGGCUCGGCGUUCCCAUCUUGGCUUCUUCAAGCAACUUUACCCUGGGUUCCGCAAGCUACUCCACCCAGCUAUUUUGCGUUAACGCUGCUUGUGCCGCUGGUCUCUGCAACACGGAUUUCUGUAGAGAGCCGUACAUCAAGCCAAACACAAGCUCUUGUCGUUACAAGCAGCACCCAUAUCGGCAGCGAACAUAUAGCCAUCACAACGAAAUUGUCACGACAGGUCAAGGCCGCACACAGCGAUCCAUGCAGCGGUGCAAUAACCAACGUUAGCCACUCUUGUGUACAUGUCUGGUUCUGUCAAGGACUGGUAUUAAGCGAGGUUAUAACACCACUUGUUCCCUGGCAUGAAAAUAAGCAAGCACAAGGUUGUGUGGCAAUGACUCUCCUAUUAAGACUAGAAAGACUUCCCAGCCAUCUUUCCAACCCCCAUUAGUAAGGUUGCGAUCCGUCCACCUUCCUUCCAUGUGAAAUGCCCCCAAUGGGGACAUUUACUUAUAACUCGACUAUAUAGCUGUAGUAUGCGGAUGCGACAGAGGUGGGGCGCUGGAUGGCCUAUGCUGGGGUGUCGUGGAUGCUACCGAAGUAAGGCUGGGUGAUCUAUGCUGCCGGGUCGUGAAGGAGAUCAAAAUACGGCUGGAGGGCUUAGGCUGAGAGGUCGAUGCGUGAUGCAUGCGACCGAAAUAAGGCAGAGGAUGCCCUGCAUUGGGAUCGCAGACAAACUGCUGCCGACCCCUGUUGACAUGAUGGGAACAUGGUCCCCUGAUGGUUGACUUGGAUCCCCAGGUGAGACCAGCCGGAAGGAGGAGAUACCGCCUUCACAGCAGAGACCGGCUGGAUGAGGAACCGGAAGUGCAGGAUGAGGGUACC
rnacentral:lncRNA from 1 species